rnacentral:rRNA from 1 species
UACAGAGGGUGCGAGCGUUACUCGGAAUUACUGGGCGUAAAGCGCGCGUAGGCGGCUUUGCAAGUCGGGUGUGAAAUCCCCAGGCUUAACCUGGGAACUGCAUUCGAGACUGCAUUGCUAGAGUAUGGGAGAGGGAAGUGGAAUUCCUGGUGUAGCGGUGAAAUGCGCAGAUAUCAGGAGGAACACCAAUGGCGAAGGCAGCUCGCUGGGACGGUACUGACGCUGAGACGCGAAAGCGUGGGGAGCAAACAGG